rnacentral:RNase_P_RNA from 1 species
ACGGAGGAUCGGGCAGCCGCUGCAAGGCCUUGCGGUUUCUUGCAGAGGAAAGUCCGGGCGCCGCAGGGCAGGAUACCGCGGAAGCGCGGGGCCCGCAAGGGUACGGAAAGCGCCGCAGAGAGGAGACCGCUCUUCGCCAGGGCUACUUUUGGCGCGGGGUGAGAGGUGAAAGGGUGGGGUAAGAGCCCACCGUCCCGAUAUAACGGGAGCCGGCAAGCCCUAUCCGGCGCAAGGCCAAGCAUGGGGGGAUCCCCUAACGGGGAGGGGGCGGCGCCGUUCCCAAACCAUCCCUCCGGGUAGGCCGCUCAACGCCCAAAGCGAUUUGGGCCAGACAAAUGGCUGCCUCUCCCCGCGCCGCAAGGCGUACGGGAAAGACAGAACCCGGCUUACAGAUCCUGCGUCCGC